rnacentral:rRNA from 1 species
GAUGAACGCUGGCGGCGUGCCUAAUACAUGCAAGUCGAACGCACGCUCGAGUAGCUUGAAUCACUUAUCUUAUCAUCGGUCAAGAUAGUAGCACGUGGAUAACCGGCCUAUAAGACUUGGGUAACUUGCGCUAACGUGAGCGAAUACCUGUUGAUAUUUUUACUCAUAUCGCUCAAAAGCUAAAACCGCAUUUUGUAGCGUUGAUAGAUGGAUCCGCGGUGCAUUAGUUAGUUGGUCAGGUAAGGGCUCACCAAGGCCAUGAUGCAUAGCCGACCUGAGAGGGUAAUCGGCCACACUGGGACUGAGACACGGCCCAGACUCCUACGGGAGGCAGCAGUAGGGAAUCUUCCACAAUGGGCGAAAGUCUGAUGGAGCAACGCCGCGUGAGUGAUGAAGGUCUUCGGAUCGUAAAACUCUGUUGUUGGGGAAGAAUAUAUCUGUUAGUAACUGUGCAGGUAGUGACGGUAUCUAAUCAGAAAGCCACGGCUAACUACGUG